rnacentral:rRNA from 1 species
CCUACGGGGGGCAGCAGUGGGGAAUAUUGGACAAUGGGGGCAACCCUCAUCCAGCCAUGCCGCGUGUGUGAAGAAGGCCCUCGGGUUGUAAAGCACUUUCAGUGAGGAAGAACGCCUGGUGGUUAAUACCCAUCAGGAAAGACAUCACUCACAGAAGAAGCACCGGCUAACUCCGUGCCAGCAGCCGCGGUAAUACGGAGGGUGCGAGCGUUAAUCGGAAUUACUGGGCGUAAAGCGCGCGUAGGUGGCUUGAUAAGCCGGUUGUGAAAGCCCCGGGCUCAACCUGGGAACGGCAUCCGGAACUGUCAAGCUAGAGUGCAGGAGAGGAAGGUAGAAUUCCCGGUGUAGCGGUGAAAUGCGUAGAGAUCGGGAGGAAUACCAGUGGCGAAGGCGGCCUUCUGGACUGACACUGACACUGAGGUGCGAAAGCGUGGGUAGCAAACAGGAUUAGAUACCCCGGUAGUC